CUCAGCCUGCCGUGCGCGCGGUCUCGCUGCGAAGUUUUGGGCCAACACCAAAACUAAGGGAGCCUGGUCUCUGGCUGUGGCUUGCACGCCCCCCGGUGGCGUAGGGCCGGUCCGGGGAAGCAAAAAGCAGACAGGAGGGCACCCACCUGCGGAGAGCGGGUUCAAAACGGCGCGAGAUGCGGCACGGCGGGCCUUUU
rnacentral:other from 1 species